UUUGUCGAAUAAAGUUCUAGGUGGGUUAUGAUGAUGACAUUUCCUAUCUAUGUGUCUUGACCAAAUUACGUGCCAGCAGUCGCGGUAAUACGUAGAAGACUAGUGUUAUUCAUCUUUAAUAGGUUUAAAGGGUACCUAGACGGUAAAUCAAGUCCGAAAAGGAUACUAAUUUUCUAGAGUUUAAUGUGAGGGGGCACUAAAGUACUGAUAAGUGUAGAGAUGAAAUUCUGUGAUACAAUAUACGGCACUGGCAAAGGCGAAAGCAUCUCAUUAUGUAAUAACUGACGUUGAGGGACGAAGGCUAUGUGUAGCAAAAAGGAUUAGAUACCCAAGUAGUCUUAGCAGAAAAUUAUGAAUGUCAUAGGAUGGAAAAUUUAAAAAAACAAUUUUUUUUCUAUAAAUGAAAGUGUAAGCAUUUCACCUCGAGAGUAAUUUGGCAACAUUGGAACUGAAAUCAUUAGACCGUUUCUGAAACAAGUAGUGAAGUAUGUUGUUUAAUUUGAUGCUCCGCAAAAAACCUUACCACAAUUUGAAUAGAAAUUUUAUUUUAUACAAGCGCUGCACGGUUGUCUUCAGUUAAUGUCGUGAGAUCUUGGUUAGUUCCAUUAAAUUAACGUAACCCUUAUUUUAUUUUUAUAUAAAGUAGU
rnacentral:rRNA from 1 species